ensembl:lncRNA
UGUGUGGGGGGCGGGGGGGGUGUAUGUGCCUCUAAAUGUGUGCAUAUGUGUGUGUCUACAAGGCCUCAUAAGCGUGACAUUUGGUGGACGUGUCCCUGUAGUGACCAUAGGACAUCCCACCCAGAGGUCUCUCAAAUUAUCUUAAAAGUCCAUUUUGUAGGAGAUUUAGUGGCGUCUAGCAAUGAUGUCACAGAUUGCAACCAACCAAUAUAGCCCUCGACCCUCCCCUUUUCAAGCAUGGAUUAGUGAAUUAGUAGCGACAACAAACACCCCAACAACAAAAAACAAAAAAAAAAGAAUCAAGAUUUAAUGUUGACGAAACUAACUGAGGUUUCCUCUUUUCAGUGUUCAGACCAGAUAUUCACGUUGACACGCAUUUGAUAUGGAUUGCUACUUCGAACGUCCCCAGUUGGCUUAUUUUACUACUGCUGUUCAAAAUCAAUUAGGUCUCCACCCCUCAGAAAUCAAUUAGGUCUCCACCCCUCAGAAAUCAAUUAGGUCUCCACCCCUUUAGAAAUCAAUUAGGUCUCCACCCCGUCAGAAAUCAAUUAGGUCUCCACCCCUUUAGAAAUCAAUUAGGUCUCCACCCGUCAGAAAUCAAUUAGGUCUCCACCCGUCAGAAAUCAAUUAGGUCUCCACCCGUCAGAAAUCAAUUAGGUCUCCACCCCUCAGAAAUCAAUUAGGUCUCCACCCCUUUAGAAAUCAAUUAGGUCUCCACCCCUCAGAAAUCAAUUAGGUCUCCACCCGUCAGAAAUCAAUUAGGUCACCACCCGUGUUAAUUUUGGCAGCUAUUUUAGAUUUAGUCUUGGUCUUUAGACGAAAAUGCUUUCGUCGACGAAGUCUCAUUACAUUUUAGUCUAGUUUUAGUCACAUUUAGUCACAUUAAACUCCUUUCCUUCCUUUCUUAGGCCCAGGGACCCCUUGUGUUGUGUCUACAACUGCAUAAUAGUCAAGCUUGCCGUACAUAAAUUGUGGAUGCAAUUCGUCUCUAAGAUACAGAUCUCCUAGUAUAUGCCUACAGCUGAAUUCCAAUUAAUUCAAUGUAAAUAAUCAUUUUAAGGCAAUACUUAAUUAACAGUAUUAUCAUUAAAAUAUAAGAGAAUAUCAAGUCUAGAUUUUGAAGAUUCCUGACCUUAGAGUUAAAUCAACCACAUAUCCUCCAUAUGAACCAACAGAUUUAGCUAUACGGAUAGUUUUGAGAGUUGAAAUGAAAGUGGUGCCAAUGAUAAUAACAAUUGCAUAAAUAGACAAGGAAGGAUAUGUAAACCAAUCACAUAUUAAUUUAUUUUUUCUUGAUUAAUGUCAUGCGUGGCCUGUCCUAUAUUCCAUUCUGCAAUGCGUUUAUUUGCUAGCUAUCGAUAGCUAACUUAGCUAGCUAGUAUAACUUAGCUAUGCUACCUCAUAGUUAGCCAACGUUAGCUAGCUAAACGUUUUGGAAAUCAUUUUCCAAGGCUAACGGGAGGUUUCAAUCGAAAAUGACUAGCUAGUUAUCCAAGCUGACACAACCUAUACACUCGACUGCCC